rnacentral:rRNA from 1 species
UUACCGGUUUGACAUAAAAGAGAUGGUAAGACAGGUGGUGCAUGGCUGUCGUCAGCUCGUGUCGUGAGAUGUUGGGUUAAGUCCCGCAACGAGCGCAACCCCGUUUAUGUUGCCAGCGUACGGGACUCAUAGAGACAGCCGGGGACAAUCGGAGGAAGGUGAGGACGACGUCAAGUCAUCAUGCCCCUUAUACCGGGCUGCACGCAUGCUACAAUGGGGUACACGGGGCACUGCGAAGUGAGCAAUCCCUAAACCGUCUCAGUUCGGAUUGAAGUCUGCAACUCGACUUCAUGAAGCCGGAGUCGCUAGUAAUCGUGAUCAGCAUGCGCGGUGAAUACGUUCUCGGGGCUUGUACACACCGCCCGUCACAUCACGAAAGUUGGAAGCCGUA